CCAUCCCUGCCAGCCUAUAAUUUCCACACUUCUUCCGUCUGUCCCGCCCAAUCAGAGUGCCUCCGCGGAGCGUCCUGGCGAUCUAAUUGCCCGCACACCCUUGUGAGCUGUGCGCCCUCCUCCGCCCCAUUAGGCAGGAGGACCACUAGUCCUUCCAUCAUAAAGGUGAACUGGAGGAUAUCUGCUACCACGGAAGGCCCAGGGCCCCAGAAGUGGUACUCCCAAACAGCAGCGAGGCGAAAGGAAAGAGAAAGGGCUUGUCCAGGAACGCCCACCGCACACGGUUUCCUCCAACCCCAGUGGGGACUUCCUUUUCACAGUACCUAGCGUCUCUGAGGCGGUGACACAAGACACUCAACAUGGCCGCUUCCAAACUGGUAAAGGCAGCAAUGGUCGCAGCUGCUGCUCCAGCCUCCGGGAGUGGAGUGGGCCUUGGCAGUGGGACUCGGCUCAGGCACUAGGUUCUGGCGCGGCUAGUAGAGGCGUUCUUGCUUCUGGGCGCGCGUGCCCUGUACCUGUGAACUGGCAGCGGUGGGCUCAGUGGCGAACGGAAGACCCCGGAGGUCAGUCCUCCCCGGGGCAUCAGAAGCCCCGAAGGUUCCGGUGCCCACUUGCAAAUAGUGAGAAGCUGCCCCCGGCCGUAGAGGUAGAACCGAAUGAAUUCAUCUUUACCUUCAAGGGCCCUCCGGGUGAGGGAGAAACAGCAAGGGGCUGCUCCUGAAUUUAAAAACUCAUUUCUGGCUGCCUCUGUAUGGAAUGGAUUUACUCCAGGGUGCAGGUUACCGACCUUCUUUGACAUUUUCCUUUGGCUUUCCAAAACAAUCUCGCUUUCCCCAAUGACUCCGCAUUUAUUCCUACUGUUAUACAAAAGGGAAAUAUUUGCAAUGUCAUGAUUGCGUUUAGCUAAGAAUCUAAGGAAGCCAAAUUUCACUAAUGAUUGGUACGUUAUGAUAUGAAUUGCUUUUGUGAUUUCCAAAGUCUAGAACUUAAUCGAUAAGAACAUUUUAAUGAGAAAAAGCUAAAUAACUUUAUAUAUGUGUAUACAAUAUAACUUUAUAUAUGUUUAAAGAGUAAAAUAGUAAUAGCAUUUUAAAAUAUUUUUUAUAUGUUGGAAGAAUCUUAAAUAUUUGUUUCACUGGAAAUAUAUAUACCCUUAUACACAAAGGAGCCAUUGGCACUCUGUUCAAGGUUAAGAUGCAUUUUUAGUAAGUAGUUAUAUUAGCCUAACUACUAUAUAUUACUGCCUACAACGUGUGAGGUAUGAUACUAACCCAUGAAAGACCAUUAAGAUCUUGUGAGAGUAAAACAUAUAUUUUGUUGUUGUUGUUGUUAUUGUUGUUUGGUACCAGUGAUAGCCGAGGCGGUUAGCCACUGAGCCACAUACAUCCCCUGCCUUUUUUUAUAUUUUAUUUAGAAACUGGGUCUCGCUGAAUUGCUUGGGCCCUCGCUAAGUUUCUGAGGCUGGCUUUGAACUCUGAGAUCCUUCUGCCUCACCCUCCAGGAUUAUAGGCUUGUGCCACAGCUCCUAGUUAUGGCUUAUUUUUAAUCAAAGAAAAUGCAUUACAAUAUGGAAGAGAACCCAUGGACUGUGAGAACUAGAGAAAUGUCACUUAAUAUUGAACACUCCACCACUGUUAGUUUGGGAAAGUCAUUUUAUCUCCCUGAUGUAACUACUAUCAUCCCUGUAGAAUAGGAGGAUUAAAAUAUUGGAUCUCUCAACAUCCAGCACUAAAAAUUGAUGAUCCAUAGGGCUGCCAGUGGGAGGUGUUAUCAAGAAGAUUCUCUGAAUUAGCUGUCACAUGUUAGUUUCAUAUGUAUGAAAUUCCCUGCUUUGUUAAUAUAAUUUUAGUCAUAGAAUAAUAGAUAAAAGAAAUGUACAUUAAAGUUUUCAGAUUUAUAAUCAUUAAAAAUAAAGAUAUUUCUGUAAAUAAAAUUGUGUUUUUAACAUUUUGUUGUAGCUUCAGCCACCACACUUUAUCCUGGGGAUUCCGUGCCAUUGGUAUUUGAUAGAGUUUAGCAAAUUCCCUUUUGGUGUUUAGAUUUAAGUCUCCUUUUCCGUUUUUCAUCACUGUGAAUUAACCUUGAUGAUUUUUGAAUUUUAUGUUCUGUAGUUCUUUAAGUUUUACAAAGAAUUUUUCCCCGACUGCUGUUAAAAAUUAGACUUUUAAGAUCAAAUUCUUCAUGUAACCUGUGCUACUUUAAAAUGAUUUAUUAUCUUUGAUCCCCCCAAAAAUGGAGCAAAACACUUAAAUACCAUUGUUCAUCUUGUGGAUCUAUGUGAGCUCCUGCAUGAAAUCUUGCUUUGAAUUUACUGAAGGAAGCAAUACCCUCCAUGGCAGAUGUCUGUCAGAUAAAUUUAUAAGUGUAGUCAGGAACUUAUCCAAAAGAGGAAAACUUAUGACUACUACAAUAAAGUCAAGUAUUUAAAAGGAAGUGAUUUGAUAAUGCCUAUAUACAAUACUUGAACUAAUUAAUUUUUAUUUUGCCUUUUAAAAAGAAGCCUAUUGUGUUGGAUUCGAAUUGGAUUCAACAUAAACUCAUAAGAUUUGCUGAGGGCCAUUGCCAAGUAGGAAUGACGCAUCGAAAUUUCCUUGCCAGCGUACCCCAUGUUAAAUGGACUUGCCUUGGAAUUUCGCUGUUGACAUUGCAUGUAAGGUGACCUUGCUCAAGGACCAGGGUGGAUCCGGGUUUAGAGCGGAUCAGGUUUGAGGAAGUAUCCUGCUCCUUGAGUUUAAGGGGUUCCCGGUUUAAGACAAUAGGGGUUUUAGGGAAGUUGGAGGUUGAAGAUUAUUGCUACUGGGUGUAGGGCGUUGCUGCUGCCUGAGUUCCCGCUGAGUUUGUGCAGGCAGAUUUUGGAUUUUCCCCAGAAUGUGUUUGUACAGGGCCGGUGUGAGUUCGGGAAUAAAGAAUUGCUGUUUGAAUCUACAAAGCUGUGAGUGGCUCGUGAUUCAGUGCCAAGCCGAGACAUUGGCAAAGAUUCAUAUAUAUAUUGAAAUAUAU
ensembl:lincRNA